rnacentral:rRNA from 1 species
GGUUGAUCCUGCCAGUAGUCAUAUGCUUGUCUCAAAGAUUAAGCCAUGCAUGUCUAAGUACGUGCCUUUACAAGGUGAAACCGCGAAUGGCUCAUUAAAUCAGUCAUGGUUUACUAGACCGUUCUAUCCUACUUGGAUAACUGUGGUAAUUCUAGAGCUAAUACAUGCCAAGAGUCUCCUGCCCUUGUGGCUCGAGCGCUUUUAUUAGACCAAAACCAAUCGAGUACUUGUGCUCGUUAGUUUGUGGUGACUCUGGAUAACUUUGAGCAGAUCGCACGGUCUUUGUGCCGGCGACGUAUCUUUCAAAUGUCUGCCUUAUCAACUGUCGAUGGUAGGUUACUUGCCUACCAUGGUUGUAACGGGUGACGGGGAAUCAGGGUUCGAUUCCGGAGAGGGAGCCUGAGAAACGGCUGCCACAUCCAAGGAAGGCAGCAGGCACGCAAAUUACCCACUCCCAGCACGGGGAGGUAGUGACGAAAAAUAACGAUGCGGGACUCUUACGAGGCCCCGUAAUCGGAAUGAGCACACUUUAAAUCCUUUAACAAGGACCUAUUGAAGGGCAAGUCUGGUGCCAGCAGCCGCGGUAAUUCCAGCUUCAAUAGCGUAUAUUAAAGUUGUUUGCGGUUA